GACGGAGGAUGCAAGUGUUAUCCGGAAUCACUGGGCGUAAAGCGUCUGUAGGUGGUUUAAAAAGUCUGCUGUUAAAAAUUGAAGCUUAACUUCAAAGAUGCCGUAGAAACUUUUAAACUUGAGGAUGGUAGGGGUAGAGGGAAUUUCCAGUGGAGCGGUGAAAUGCGUAGAUCUUGGAAAGACCACCAAUGGCGAAGGCACUCUACUGGGCCAUGACUGACACUAAGAGACGAAAGCUAGGGGAGCAAAUGGG
rnacentral:rRNA from 1 species